UGCAGCGNCGCCGCGUGAGGGAUGACGGCCUUCGGGUUGUAAACCUCUUUCAGCAGNNNNNNNGCCACAAGUGACGGUACCUGCAGAAGAAGCGCCGGCUAACUACGUGCCAGCAGCCGCGGUAAUACGUAGGGCGCAAGCGUUGUCCGGAAUUAUUGGGCGUAAAGAGCUCGUAGGCGGUUUGUCGCGUCUGCUGUGAAAGCCCGGGGCUUAACCCCGGGUGUGCAGUGGGUACGGGCAGACUAGAGUGCAGUAGGGGAGACUGGAAUUCCUGGUGUAGCGGUGGAAUGCGCAGAUAUCAGGAGGAACACCGAUGGCGAAGGCAGGUCUCUGGGCUGUUACUGACGCUGAGGAGCGAAAGCAUGGGGAGCGAACAGGAUUAGAUACCCUGGUAGUCCAUGCCGUAAACGUUGGGCACUAGGUGUGGGGGACAUUCCACGUUUUCCGCGCCGUAGCUAACGCAUUAAGUGCCCCGCCUGGGGAGUACGGCCGCAAGGCUAAAACUCAAAGGAAUUGACGGGGGCCCGCACAAGCGGCGGAGCAUGCGGAUUAAUUCGAUGCAACGCGAAGAACCUUACCAAGGCCUUGACAUAUACCGGAUCGUUCCAAGAGAUGGUUCUUUCCCCUUUGGGGGUCGGUAUACAGGGUGGUGCAUGGGUUGUCGUCAGCUCGUGUCGUGAGAUGUUGGG
rnacentral:rRNA from 1 species